UCUCAACACCUGUUGUCUUGUUGUUGGU
rnacentral:piRNA from 1 species